rnacentral:rRNA from 1 species
UACGUAGGGCGCAAGCGUUGUCCGGAAUUAUUGGGCGUAAAGCGCAUGUAGGCGGCUGGACAAGUCGUGUGUUAAAGCCCCUGGCUCAACUGGGGGAGGUCAUGCGAGACUGUACGGCUGGAGGGCAACAGAGGCACGUGGAACUCCCGGUGUAGCGGUGGAAUGCGUAGAGAUCGGGAAGAACACCAGUGGCGAAGGCGACGUGCUGGGUUGCACCUGACGCUGAGAUGCGAAAGUGUGGGGGAGCAAACGGG